AUUGAACGCUGGCGGCAUGCUUUACACAUGCAAGUCGAACGGUAACAGGUUAAGCUGACGAGUGGCGAACGGGUGAGUAAUGCAUCGGAACGUGCCCGGUCGUGGGGGGUAACGCAGCGAAAGCUGCGCUAAUACCGCAUACGAUCUAAGGAUGAAAGCGGGGGACCGUAAGGCCUCGCGCGAUCGGAGUGGCCGAUGUCAGAUUAGGUAGUUGGUGGGGUAAAGGCUCACCAAGCCAACGAUCUGUAGCUGGUCUGAGAGGACGACCAGCCACACUGGGACUGGGACACGGCCCAGACUCCUACGGGAGGCAGCAGUGGGGAAUUUUGGACAAUGGGCGAAAGCCUGAUCCAGCAAUGCCGCGUGCAGGAAGAAGGCCUUCGGGUUGUAAACUGCUUUUGUACGGAGCGAAAAGGUCUCCUCUAAUACAGGGGGCUCAUGACGGUACCGUAAGAAUAAGCACCGGCUAACUACGUGCCAGCCGCCGCAGUAA
rnacentral:rRNA from 1 species